AACUGUCAGAGUUAUUUUCCUAAAAUCCAGUUCUGGUCAUGUUGCUUCUCUGCUCAAAGACUCCUUUGGCCUCCUGUUGACCUCCAGUAACCUGUGCUUCAGCCAGUCUGCCUGCUCACUUCCCUGAAUGCUCCUCUACGAUUUCCUGCUUCUCCACCUUUGCUUAUGCUAUAGCUCUGCCUGGAAUGAAUACUACCCCCGACUCAUCUCCAACUGACUGGCAUAGUGGAAAGAGCUUGGGCUCUGGAUCCUUGGCUUCACAACUUACUAUUUGGACAAGUACUUUGAACAAGUAUUUAACCUCUUUGAGCCUCAGUUUCCUGAUCUGUAAAAAUGAAAAUAAUGAUACCUACCUUGCAGGGUUGUUGUAAGGAUUAAAUGAACAUAUGUAUACAGUGCAAUUGACAUAGAGUCAAUAAAUGGCAGAGCACUAUUA